rnacentral:rRNA from 1 species
GCGGCGUUUCGGAUGAUUGGGCGUAAAGGGUGCGUAGGCGGUACGGUAAGUCUGUAGUAAAAGGCGGCAGCUCAACUGUCGUAGGCUAUGGAAACUGUCGAACUAGAGUGCAGAAGAGGGCGAUGGAACUCCAUGUGUAGCGGUAAAAUGCGUAGAUAUAUGGAAGAACACCAGUGGCGAAGGCGGUCGCCUGGUCUGUAACUGACGCUGAAGCACGAAAGCGUGGGGAGCAAAUAGGAUUAGAUACCCUAGUAGUCCACGCCGUAAACGAUGAGAACUAAGUGUUGGGGGAAUAACUCAGUGCUGCAGUUAACGCAAUAAGUUCUCCGCCUGGGGAGUAUGCACGCAAGUGUGAAACUCAAAGGAAUUGACGGGGGCCCGCACAAGCGGUGGAGUAUGUGGUUUAAUUCGAAGCAACGCGAAGAACCUUACCAGGCCUUGACAUCCCCGGCGAAGACAUGGAGACAUGUCGGAGGUUAACCGGGAGACAGGUGGUGCAUGGUUGUCGUCAGCUCGUGUCGUGAGAUGUUGGGUUAAGUCCCGCAACGAGCGCAACCCUUGUGAUAUGUUACUAACAGUAAGAUGAGGACUCAUAUCAGACUGCCGGUGACAAACCGGAGGAAGGUGGGGAUGACGUCAAAUCAUCAUGCCCCUUAUGGCCUGGGCUACACACGUACUACAAUGGCGGCUACAAAGAGCGGCGAACCCGCGAGGGGGAGCGAAUCUCAUAAAGGUCGUCUCAGUUCGGAUUGAAGUCUGCAACCCGACUUCAUGAAGUUGGAAUCGCUAGUAAUCGCGAAUCAGCAUGUCGCGGUGAAUACGUUCUCGGGCCUUGUACACACCGCCCGUCAAACCAUGGGAGUUGGUAAUACCCGAAGCCGGUGGCAUAACCGCAAGGAGUGAACC